UGGCACUGUUCGUAACCUGUCAGCAGCACCUUCCUGCUCAUGGGUUCCAUUCCGGUGCUACAUGAAACCCGAAGAUAAUGAAAGACUGGUGGGUUCUCUGCCCGUCCACGUUAUUUUGGGGGACAUCC